rnacentral:rRNA from 1 species
AGUGAACGCUGGCGGCAGGCCUAAUACAUGCAAGUCGAACGGCAGCACAGCAGAGCUUGCUCUGUGGGUGGCGAGUGGCGGACGGGUGAGGAAUACAUGGGAAUCUGCCCAGUCGUGGGGGAUAACGUAGGGAAACUUACGCUAAAUACCGCAUGCGCCCUUCGGGGGAAAGCCGGGGACCGUAAGGCCUGGCGCGAUUGGAUGAGCCCAUGUCGGAUUAGCUAGUUGGCGGGGUAAAGCCCACCAAGGCGACGAUCCGUAGCUGGUCUGAGAGGAUGAUCAGCCACACUGGAACUGAGACACGGUCCAGACUCCUACGGGAGGCAGCAGUAGGGAAUAUUGGACAAUGGGCGCAAGCCUGAUCCAGCCAUGCCGCGUGAGUGAAGAAGGCCCUCGGGUUGUAAAGCUCUUUUGUCCGGAAAGAAAAGCGCCGGGUUAAUACCCUGGUGUCCUGACGGUUACCGGAAGAAUAAGCACCGGCUAACUUCGUGCCAGC